AUGGUGGAGAAGCAGUUCUCCAGAAGCAUUUUCCAGAUCCAGAUGUGGGCUGUGUUGCUCUGGUGUGAAGACACAGAAAUCCUCCUCAUCAAAAACAUGACUCUGAUCUGCGUCCUCAUCUGGACUCUCCUCUGCUGCUGCUUCACAGAGUCCAGAGGUCAGGUCACAGUGACUCAGCCUGGAUCAGUGACUUCUGCUCUGGGAGGCUCCGUCCCCAUCAGCUGUAAAACCAGUCACAAUGUUUACUAUGAUCGCUACUACUAUUUAGCCUGGUACCAACAGAGAGAUGGAGGAACUCCUAAACUGCUCUUUAAUAAUGAUGGCAGUCGAGUAUCAGGAACACCAAGUCGUUUUACAGAUGGUGGAUCAAACUCUGACUUCACUCUGACCAUCAGUGGAGUUCAGACUAAAGAUGCAGCAGUUUAUUACUGUCAGAGUUUUCAUGUCAUCAACAGGAAAGAUGUGUUCACACAAUGA